rnacentral:rRNA from 1 species
AUUACACCUGAUAUAAGCAAGAUUACCCGCUGAACUUAAGCAUAUCAGUAAGCGGAGGAAAAGAAAUUAACGAAGAUAGCCUUAGUAACUGCGAGUGAACAGGCUGAAGCUCAAAGUGUAAAUCUGCGUGGGUCAACCACAAAGAAUUGUAAUCUAUAGGGUUAAUCCGAAGGUAAGCUACUCGCAUAAGUUUUUUGGAACAAGACGUCAAAGAGGGUGACAACCCCGUAGUCGGCGAGUAUGCUGCUGUAGGAGAGGCUUCGAAGAGUCGGGUUGUUUGGGACUGCAGCCCUAAGUGGGAGAUAAACUUCUUCUAAAGCUAAAUAUUCACGGGAGACCGAUAGCGAACAAGUACUGCGAAGGAAAGAUGAAAAGAACUUUGAAAAGAGGGUUAAAAGACUUGAAACCGUUGAGAAGGAAGCGGUAGAAGAGCAAUAAACUGGCUUCGGUGUAAACCGUCUGAUGAUACUCACUGCUGUAUAGAUACGAAAGGUCGGUGCGGUGUGAAGAGGUCAUCAAGCGGUGCUACUGGAGUUAGGAGACAAAAUGAUGUUUGGUUGAAGGAGUCACCUGAGAUUCGUAGCAUCAAAAGGAAAACUUCAAUCGGGCAUGAGGGGCCUAAGGGCGAUUUUGUCAAAAUGGCUUCUACUGACCCGUCUUGAAACACGGACCAAGGAGUCUAUCAAUUAAGCGAGUGACAGGGUGGAAAAACCCGUCCGCAAAACGAAAGUGAGUACAAGGUGCCAACCGCAAGGUGCAGCAUCACCCGGCCUCAAGUCUCCGACAAGAGGAUCGAGGAAGAGCUUAAUUGAUAGGACCCGAAAGAUGGUGAACUACGCUUGAAUAGGGUGAAGCCAGGGGAAACUCUGGUGGAAGCUCGUAGCGAUACUGACGUGCAAAUCGUUCGUCAAAUUUGAGUGUAGGGGCGAAAGACUAAUCGAACCAUCUAGUAGCUGGUUCCCUCCGAAGUUUCUCUCAGGAUAGCAAGGGCAAUAACGCAGUUUUAUUAGGUAAAGCGAAUGAUU